UACGUAGGGUGCAAGCGUUAUCCGGAAUUAUUGGGCGUAAAGAGCUCGUAGGCGGUUUGUCGCGUCUGCUGUGAAAACUGGAGGCUCAACCUCCAGCCUGCAGUGGGUACGGGCAAACUAGAGUGCGGUAGGGGAGAUUGGAAUUCCUGGUGUAGCGGUGGAAUGCGCAGAUAUCAGGAGGAACACCGGUGGCGAAGGCGGGUCUCUGGGCCGUAACUGACGCUGAGGAGCGAAAGCAUGGGGAGCGAACAGG
rnacentral:rRNA from 1 species